rnacentral:rRNA from 1 species
CCUACGGGUGGCAGCAGUGAGGAAUCUUGGUCAAUGGACGAGAGUCUGAUCCAGCCAAGUAGCGUGAAGGAUGACUGCCCUAUGGGUUGUAAACUUCUUUUAUAUGGGAAUAAAGUGUGGCACGUGUGGGAUUAUGUGUGUACCAUAUGAUUAAGGAUCGGCUAACUCCGUGCCAGCAGCCGCGGUAAUACGGAGGAUCCGAGCGUUAUCCGGAUUUAGUGGGUAUAAAGGGAGCGCAGGUGGAUUGUUAAGUCAGUAGUGAAAGUGUGGGGCUCAAACGUAAAAUUGCAGUUAAAACUGGCAGUCUUGAGUACAGUAGAGGUGAGCGGAAUUCGUGGUGUAGCGGUGAAAUGCGUAGAUAUCACGAAGAACUCCGAUUGCGAAGGCAGCUCACUGGACUGCAACUGACACUGAGGCACGAAAGCGUGGGGAUCAAACAGGAUUAGAUACCCGAGUAGUC